UACGAAGGGGGCUAGCGUUGCUCGGAAUCACUGGGCGUAAAGCGCACGUAGGCGGCUUUCUAAGUCAGGGGUGAAAUCCUGGAGCUCAACUCCAGAACUGCCUUUGAUACUGUCGAUCUGGAGUAUGGAAGAGGUGAGUGGAAUUCCGAGUGUAGAGGUGAAAUUCGUAGAUAUUCGGAGGAACACCAGUGGCGAAGGGCGGCUCACUGGUCCAUUACUGACGCUGAGGUGCGAAAGCGUGGGGAGCAAACAGGGAUUAAGAAACCCUGAG
rnacentral:rRNA from 1 species